CCACCGAAAAGCGUGCGUUUUAGAAAGUCAUUUGGUUCCAGAGAAAUAAGAAUGAAAGUGCGAGACAAUUUUUUACUUAAACUAGAGCUGUUGGUUGUACUCUGGCUCUGCACGGUUGUACUCUGGCUUUAAAUACGCGUCCAACGACACCACAAUUAUUUAAAUUAUUUCAUUUAUUUAUUCUCCUUUACAAAGUUAUCCAAUAAACAAGAUAAAGACAUAAUUUUUGAAAUGAGAACGGAACUAUACACUCAUAGAAAAAAUUCAGAAUUUCUGUGUUAAAUCAAGAACGAACGGUGCCAAAAGUAGGGUAAAUUCGAUUUUUUUUUGAUUCAAGUACGAAGGCAAUAUUCAAGUACGAAUUAUUCAAUCCCGAAGUUCUACAUUUGAGAAUGAACGUCAUCAGUUCAAGUACUCAAAAGUGCUUGAAGAAAGUGCGAAAGUUAUUGUUUUGAGUACGAAAAAUUCUUCAUGCAAUUUCCGAGCGCAAUGAAGAGAUGGAGGCAAGUAUUUUCUUGGGACUCUGUACUUUUUGAUUCCGUUUAAAUAUGGGCUGGACUCCCUCUGGACCCCUCAGCUAGUGGAAAUAGUGGUAUCCUAGUUUAACGCAUAAAAUCGAAGAAGCAUUAGCGGCCACAAAUACAAAUUUUCAAAUUUUUGUAACUUUAGUCAGCCGCUUUCAUUGGCAUACAAUGAGGUCAAUAACUUAUUAGAUUCGUGAAUGUUCCAUCUUCAAGAUUAGUGUAGUGCAAUAUGUAUUUUUUAAGAAUUAAUUGUGGUGUCGAAACUUCAGUUUCUGCAAUUUAUUAAAACUUUGUUGAGCUCUAGCAUCUAUAUUCGGAUACCUAUCCUUAUGAAAUGUAUGGGAAAGUUGAAAAUGAUCCAUUUCUCGGGAAAUAAGCUACCGAUGACCGAAAUCGGUUAAGCAGAACUGGAGAUAAAACAAAAAAAUUGGCAUGAAAGCAACGAUGUUCUUAAGACAUCAAAGAAUAAGUUGAAAUUAUUAUUUUCACUUUAACUUAUCACUUAUUAUUUAAAAACAACUAAUUUUUAGUGCUUGCGGGUCUGAGUCCGUCAGCCUAAUGCGUGGCGGAAAGUUUCCGUAAGUUUUCUCGAAAGCUAACAAAAAAUGAAGAGAACAUUUUAUUCUUUGUAAAUCUUUCGAAAGUGAAAGUUGAACAGGGCCGAUAAACUGCAACUAUUGGACACCCUUUUUUUAAAUCCGGUGUUUGGUUAAAGUAGUUCAA